rnacentral:misc_RNA from 1 species
AAGUCGUAACAAGGUUUCCGUAGGUGAACCUGCGGAAGGAUCAUUAGUGAAGUCUAAAUGGACGCUGUCUCUUAACCGAGCGGGUCCGACUACACAUUUUCUACACCUGUGAACUAGACCUUUUAAACGCUAUUGUAAAGUCAAAGUAAACGUGCCUAGCACAAUAACAUAAUAAAAUAAAA